rnacentral:rRNA from 1 species
AAGACCUUGCGCUUUUGGAGCGGCCGAUGCCUGAUUAGCUUGUUGGUAAGGUAAAAGCUUACCAAGGCUUCGAUCAGUAGCUGGUCUGAGAGGACGGCCAGCCACACUGGGACUGAGACACGGCCCAGACUCCUACGGGAGGCAGCAGUGGGGAAUUUUGGACAAUGGGGGCAACCCUGAUCCAGCCAUGCCGCGUGAGUGAAGAAGGCCUUCGGGUUGUAAAGCUCUUUCAGCCGGGAAGAAAAGGUUGCGACUAAUAAUCGCAAUCCAUGACGGUACCGAAAGAAGAAGCACCGGCUAACUACGUGCCAGCAGCCGCGGUAAUACGUAGGGUGCGAGCGUUAAUCGGAAUUACUGGGCGUAAAGGGUGCGCAGGCGGUUUUGUAAGUCAGAUGUGAAAUCCCCGGGCUUAACCUGGGAACU